GGAAACGGGCCGGCAGCGAAGGAGGUUCUUGCUCCUCUCGCCGGACUACCGCUCCCAUCAGCCCCGCCAGCAAUAUGGGCUUGGAAGUCUCCCCGGUCUGUGUGUGUGUUAUAAAGCGCUGUUAAUACUUCACCUCGUUUCCAUAUUCCGUGCUCAUCCAAAGAGAAGCGGGUGGAGGACCAGGGCCGCUUUCUGAAGGCCCCGCCUGGACAUCCUGCAGCCGCUUUCGGUCCCCACGUUACAAAGAGGCGGUCGAGACUUUGGGGAAAGUUUAGAGAAGAGCAACUAAGAGGCUCGAAGGCCUGGAGACCAAGAGGUACGAAAAACAGCUGCAGGAUUUGGGCCCGGCUGGUCUAGAGAAGAGAAGGACCAGGAGAGCCAUGAGAGCAGUUCCCCAGUAUUUGAGGGGCCGCCGCAGAGAGGAGGAAGGGGGCCCAGCUAUUCUCCAAAGCACCUGAAGGCCAGACAAGGAACAACGGAUGGAAACUAACCAAGGACAGAAGCAACCUGGAAUUAAGGAGAAACUUCCUAACAAAAGAGGACAAUUGACCAAUGGAACUGCUUGCCACCAGAAAUUGUGGGUGCUUCAUCACUGGAGGUUCCUAAGAAGAGUCUGGACAGCCACUUGUCUGAAGUGGCAGAGGGUCUCCUGCUUGAGCAGGGGGCUGGACUAGAAGACCCUCAUGGUCCCUUCCUGCUCCAUUCUGAUACGAUCUACAUUUUAACAGGACCAGGUUACCCAACUCUUUGCCCUGGAGAAACAUGGCCGCUGCAGAGGCAGUGGGGACACUGCACACGCGCACACCACAGCCCACUGGCAGGCCCGGCCAAGGGACACCCGUGAAAUAAUCCAGCCCCAAGUAAAUCCUCCCCCCAACAUAACAGGAAAGGAAAAGAAAAAAACAAAGUUAGGAACAACAUUGCAACAAACAGCCAGUCAUGAAUGAAUGAAUGAAUGCCCUUCUUUCUAUGGAAUUGAGCUGAAAAUGGGCACUUUUUAAAAACCCUGCAGAUACUUUGACCAAGGAGCUCGGCCACAGUGCAACUGCUCUCCGUCCUUCUCCGACAAAGAGAGACACAGAGGUGUUUGUACGUCAAAUAUCCAAGCAAACUAUUUUCAGCUCCUUGCAACAUCUUUUUCCUUCUCCAGCCGAGAAAGGGCCAGCGAGAUAUCUUCCAACUUCUUGCACCCAAACAUUUGAGAGGCAGAAGAACCAGCCACCUUCUAGUUUUAAACAUUUUUUUAGUUUUACAUCUGCCGGUUGAAAUGCAACAUCUCUCUGCCACCAGAUGACUCCCUUCUCAGUUUCGUAACUGUUCUCAGGCUGCCCGCCCUUGGCAGAUUGGGGUAAAGGAGAAGCUUGCUGCCCCUUCCCUUCUCUGUACAAUCUGACCCCUUUUUAAAAGUCCCUUUCCUUCCAUUUUUCCUUCUUUCUCCUCAAAAUGGGUGGCAAACGGGCCGGUGAUAAUACAGAUAAUUUCUUUAACUGAA